UCUGUCCUGGGGGCUAGAGAUGGCUAAAAGUGCGAUCUUAGGAGCGUACAUCUGAGAGGCAGCAACUGCGGAAACGCGGCUGCGGGUCCAGGAGGAGCUCGGGAGGCGGCUGUGGCUGCAGCUGCAGAGUGGAGCGCAAGCGCCCUGUGUGCCUGUGGAAGGCUUGGUGGCCUUCCCGAGGCUGCGGUUUUGCUGUCGUUGAGUGAGUUUGAUAGCUUGUGAGGCUAAGUUACUGUCGUGGCGGCCGUGCCUUGGAGCAUAUGAUGGCUGGAUGAGAGCUUGCUGGAGGAGAUCGGCGAGUCUUGGCGCUGGAGCACUACCUUCCCAGGACUCUGCUCUUACCCCGGAAGGAUGACCCAGAAGAAGAGGGUGUUUAGAGUUUCCAUGGAGUAAAACACUCAGCUAGACAUACACUAGGUGCUCAGUAGGCAUCGGACUUGGAGCCGAGGAGACCUUCCUGUCCAUCUUCUCUUCCUACAAUGCUACCAACUCCAGCCUUCCCCAAGGAGGCUCAUGGUCAACAGAGGUCCUGGAUAAUCAGGAACUCCAUCUACUUUGUACCUUCAUCCUCUGGAACUCAUGACGUCCUCAUACUCAAAGAACAAAGCAUACCAACUCUUAAAUUCUUUGGUUUAGAAGCACUAAACAUCAUUCAAGCACUAUUUAUGGGCCACAGGCCAGCACUGAUCACAUGGCUCUUCCUAAUUGCAUGGGGUCAGGUCGAGGUGGAGGAGGAAGGGACUGGGAAAUAUAAAGAAACAAAUAGGAUAUUUGCUGAGCACUACUGUGUGAACCACAGGGACCUUCUACUAGAGGGGCUUGGAUGACUUGUUUCACAUAUGGCUUAAAAAUCCUUGGAGGCUUGUUUUGUUGGGAAUUGUUAUGGCUGUUUUAUUUGUGUGUGUGCCUGUGUGUUUGCAGUCAUAGCUCAUUGGAGACUUCAGUAUCUCUGCUAUUUCUGUACUUUACUCUUACCAUUUUAUUCACGCAUGCAUUCAUUCACUCAUUCAACAACUAUUUAUUGAACACCUACUGUGGGGCAAAAAUUUCUGCCCUCAUAAAGGUGCUAUUUGAAUGGGAUCAGAUAAUUGACACAAUGAACAUAUGAUGCCUGGCAAGUGGUGAAGAAAAAUAAAGCAGUGAGGGGAUAUGAAGUGCCA
rnacentral:lncRNA from 1 species